UGUGCGUUUCUCUGCACAAUAGUCGUUUAGGGGACGUAGGUAAUGUUUAUUUACAGGUAAUCAAGAUUCUAAUAUGAGAGUGGAAAACAAUAAACUGCCGUCAUUAGCUAGGAGGGGGAGAGGUGGGGGUGGCUUUUGGAGAUGGCCAGUCAGUUAGGCGCGUACAAGAGUUAUCUUACCUUCUUUCUUGCCUCCAGCGGUGAGUUAGGGGGCCACCAAUCCAUACUGUGUAUUUUACCGUGGUCACUCACAAACAGAGUUGUUUGCCAUGGUAUAGACAACCGCAAAAAACUAAAUUGUUUAAAAAGGAUAACUACCAUAACACAAGAACUCACAGUAUAGUACUAAAUUUGCACAAAGUAAAAGGCUAAGAGUAUAAAAUAUCAAUUGUUUAAUAACAUUCUAUGAAGUAUUCUAUAAUGGAAAAUCAUUUGAGACUUACGUAAUCAGCAUGAGAUAGUUUGUUGGGAAAGGUUGCUGAAUAUUGUUCCAUUAUUUAAAAAAAUGACCGCUGAGCGAAUGUAAAUUGGAGGUGGUUGUUUAUCUACACUAGGUACACUAGGUAACUUGUGAGUGAAGUGCAGAGCAAGUAUAUUUCGAGCUAAAAAUGGUUCCUUCCUGAUCAAUAUAGUAAAUUUCAAAAGGAAUAAUUGAAACAAGAACGUAUUGAAAUUUCAAUAAACACAUUGAAAAUGUGUAUGUACUCUUCAAAAAACAAUCACACAAUGGUUCCAUGGCGAAAAUCUAUUUCAUGAAAUUUAAAUUCACUUUUCGAAAGUGUUCUUCAAUUCAAUUCAAUCAAAGUUUCUAUGAUUAAAGUAGGUAAGAUAUAUUCAACAUCUGAAUAUAUCUUCUUGUUUCAUGCAAAAGAUCUAGAGUGGAUCUCAACAAAGAAUUAUCCUGCUAGCAAAAUGGAAAAGUUGCUCCGUGAAAAACUUGAAAAUAACAACAGCAAGCGAAAAGGACAACGACACCUUAUUUCAUGGGCAGAAGCAAUGCAUAUAAGGACAAACAAGAAACAAAGAAGGCAGAUAAUAAAAGAAGGAUUGAAUUACAUAGUAUGUAAAUCUGUGGAGACGUUGAUAAAGACUUCAUGAAAUGUUAUAACACCAUUGCGGGGACAUUGGUGUACCUCGUGUUGAGGAGAAGUCUGGCGAAGACAGUGAUUUUGAUUUCCCGUGGAUGGAAAAUACAGAGAUUGAUGGUAAGUAGAAUUGUUGUUACAUUUCUUGACACUUCAUAUAUCAUGAUUUUACACUCAUUGUGAAAACAUUCGGGUUGAGGUACUGUAGGGUUUAAAAAAUAGUGGCGACAACGAAAAUGAGUUGUUGAAAAGAUGCGAAGAAGAAGUCGGCAUACUCAAAAAAGAAAUGUCUAGCUACUGGCUUUUUUACAGUAUAAUUGGAAAAUGAGAUAGAUGUCAAUAGCUUCAACUUUUAUGCGAAUGAGUGCUUACCAAUGGCGAAAAGGUUAAUCCUGAAGAGAGGCAUGUUUCCCUGUCCGGCUCAGACAGUGACCCGGAAUAAUGUAGCUGUUAUCGUCUGUAUUUAUUAUUUGAACUACCAUAGCUCUUUUCCGGGAUUACAUAUUUUUUCAAGAUUUCGUAUCGUAUCCGAAAUCUUGUUUAAACGGGCUUUUUCCUCCUUCGUUUUCCUUCUUAUCCUUCUCACUCAUUUCACACAGUAUGUUCUAUUGUUUGUAAUCUCUUUAAUAAUAGCCGUCGUCUGUCUGUCUGUGUGUCCGCGAAAGCCGUGUCCCGUAACGGAAACAC